UCCCUUUGAACACUCGACAUCGUCGAAGAAUUACUGUCACAGACUAAAUGAGUACUGCUUUGAAGUCUGUAAAAACAAGUGAAGUUUAAGACUGAUUGAGACGAAAUGUCGGUACAGCAGAACGCAGUGGCGUCAUGAUGAGAUAAUACCAAAAUAUUGAACACCAAUAAUACCGAAAUUUUUGGAUCUGGACAGUGGACUUAAGCUUCCAUAUAACAUUUUUGUCAUAGAAAUUUUGUAAAUAUUGUAAAAAUUUGUAUCAAAAUGAAAUAAUGGAAAUAUAAUAAUAAAAUGGAAUCAUAAUGCUACGUUACUGAACGUAUGUAUAACUAAUAUAAUCCAAGUGCACACAUCGCGCAGACGCGCAAUGUCGCCUACUGAAUGAAAUAUUAUAUAUCUUUCAUCGUUUGCUAUGAAUAAAUUAUACGUAUUUAAUAAAAAAAGUUAGAUAAUUA